CCUAUUAAUCAUGGAACACAACCUGGACAUGAAGGUCUGGAUGUGCAUUCGAGUAGUGGAGAGCAUGUAAUCGGUGGUGACCAAGUGGAGCAUGAUCCGGGUAGACAACAUCAGGAAUGUGAUGUUCCCCAAUCAGAGGAUCUAGAAGGUGUUCAACAUGUUGAGGUUGAGGCUAGACAAAAUGAUGUGGAAGAUGAUGUCGCCCCAUCAGAGGACCCAUGUUUUGUUUAGUGUCUGUGCCCUCUGUAUAGGACUAGGCAUACAUCGAGAUCAUGAGAAAAGGGCAGAACAACUGAAGAUGGGGGAAAUAAUGAAGAAAA